GACGAACGCUGGCGGCGUGCCUAAUACAUGCAAGUCGAACGAAGUGGGGAAGGGUGAGUAACACGUGGGUAACCUCCCAUCAGAGGGGAUAACACUUGGAAACAGGUGCUAAACCGCUACUGAUGGAUGGACCCGCGGUGCAUUAGCUAGGUGGGGGGGUAACGGCUCACCAAGGCCACGAUGCAUAGCCAACCUGAGAGGGUGAUCGGCCACACUGGGACUGAGACACGGCCCAGAAUCUGACGGGAGGCAGCAGUAGGGAACCUUCGGCAAUGGACUAAAGUCUGACCGAGCAACGCCGCGUGAUUGAAGAAGGUUUUCGGAUCGUAAAUCCCUGUUGUUAAAGAAGCGGUAUCUAACCAGAAAGCCACGGCUAACUACGUGCCAGCAGCCGCGGUAAUUC
rnacentral:rRNA from 1 species